UGUAAAAAUAAAAUUAAAGAUUUAGGGUCUGGCUAUGAGUAAUGAAAAUAGCCCAACUUGAGGGGCAGCACCAAGCAUGCAUUUGAAAAUAUCACUGCAUGCAAUUGGAUAACACUACGACCAAUGUUUACUGACUGAUUCCAGACUUCGACGUUGCAGCACUGUCAUCAUCUGUUUAGCUCCCCUCUGGUCUGCCUAUAUUUGAUACACCGAUGUGA